rnacentral:rRNA from 1 species
GGGUUGUGAGGUUAAGCGACUAAGCGUACACGGUGGAUGCCCUGGCAGUCAGAGGCGAUGAAGGACGUGCUAAUCUGCGAUAAGCGUCGGUAAGGUGAUAUGAACCGUUAUAACCGGCGAUUUCCGAAUGGGGAAACCCAGUGUGUUUCGACACACUAUCAUUAACUGAAUCCAUAGGUUAAUGAGGCGAACCGGGGGAACUGAAACAUCUAAGUACCCCGAGGAAAAGAAAUCAACCGAGAUUCCCCCAGUAGCGGCGAGCGAACGGGGAGCAGCCCAGAGCCUGAAUCAGUGUGUGUGUUAGUGGAAGCGUCUGGAAAGGCGCGCGAUACAGGGUGACAGCCCCGUACACAAAAAUGCACAUGCUGUGAGCUCGAUGAGUAGGGCGGGACACGUGGUAUCCUGUCUGAAUAUGGGGGGACCAUCCUCCAAGGCUAAAUACUCCUGACUGACCGAUAGUGAACCAGUACCGUGAGGGAAAGGCGAAAAGAACCCCGGCGAGGGGAGUGAAAAAGAACCUGAAACCGUGUACGUACAAGCAGUGGGAGCACGCUUAGGCGUGUGACUGCGUACCUUUUGUAUAAUGGGUCAGCGACUUAUAUUCUGUAGCAAGGUUAACCGAAUAGGGGAGCCGAAGGGAAACCGAGUCUUAACUGGGCGUUAAGUUGCAGGGUAUAGACCCGAAACCCGGUGAUCUAGCCAUGGGCAGGUUGAAGGUUGGGUAACACUAACUGGAGGACCGAACCGACUAAUGUUGAAAAAUUAGCGGAUGACUUGUGGCUGGGGGUGAAAGGCCAAUCAAACCGGGAGAUAGCUGGUUCUCCCCGAAAGCUAUUUAGGUAGCGCCUCGUGAAUUCAUCUCCGGGGGUAGAGCACUGUUUCGGCAAGGGGGUCAUCCCGACUUACCAACCCGAUGCAAACUGCGAAUACCGGAGAAUGUUAUCACGGGAGACACACGGCGGGUGCUAACGUCCGUCGUGAAGAGGGAAACAACCCAGACCGCCAGCUAAGGUCCCAAAGUCAUGGUUAAGUGGGAAACGAUGUGGGAAGGCCCAGACAGCCAGGAUGUUGGCUUAGAAGCAGCCAUCAUUUAAAGAAAGCGUAAUAGCUCACUGGUCGAGUCGGCCUGCGCGGAAGAUGUAACGGGGCUAAACCAUGCACCGAAGCUGCGGCAGCGACGCUUAUGCGUUGUUGGGUAGGGGAGCGUUCUGUAAGCCUGUGAAGGUGUGCUGUGAGGCAUGCUGGAGGUAUCAGAAGUGCGAAUGCUGACAUAAGUAACGAUAAAGCGGGUGAAAAGCCCGCUCGCCGGAAGACCAAGGGUUCCUGUCCAACGUUAAUCGGGGCAGGGUGAGUCGACCCCUAAGGCGAGGCCGAAAGGCGUAGUCGAUGGGAAACAGGUUAAUAUUCCUGUACUUGGUGUUACUGCGAAGGGGGGACGGAGAAGGCUAUGUUGGCCGGGCGACGGUUGUCCCGGUUUAAGCGUGUAGGCUGGUUUUCCAGGCAAAUCCGGAAAAUCAAGGCUGAGGCGUGAUGACGAAGCACUACGGUGCUGAAGCAACAAAUGCCCUGCUUCCAGGAAAAGCCUCUAAGCAUCAGGUAACAUCAAAUCGUACCCCAAACCGACACAGGUGGUCAGGUAGAGAAUACCAAGGCGCUUGAGAGAACUCGGGUGAAGGAACUAGGCAAAAUGGUGCCGUAACUUCGGGAGAAGGCACGCUGAUAUGUAGGUGAAGUCCCUCGCGGAUGGAGCUGAAAUCAGUCGAAGAUACCAGCUGGCUGCAACUGUUUAUUAAAAACACAGCACUGUGCAAACACGAAAGUGGACGUAUACGGUGUGACGCCUGCCCGGUGCCGGAAGGUUAAUUGAUGGGGUUAGCGGUAACGCGAAGCUCUUGAUCGAAGCCCCGGUAAACGGCGGCCGUAACUAUAACGGUCCUAAGGUAGCGAAAUUCCUUGUCGGGUAAGUUCCGACCUGCACGAAUGGCGUAAUGAUGGCCAGGCUGUCUCCACCCGAGACUCAGUGAAAUUGAACUCGCUGUGAAGAUGCAGUGUACCCGCGGCAAGACGGAAAGACCCCGUGAACCUUUACUAUAGCUUGACACUGAACAUUGAGCCUUGAUGUGUAGGAUAGGUGGGAGGCUUAGAAGUGUGGACGCCAGUCUGCAUGGAGCCGACCUUGAAAUACCACCCUUUAAUGUUUGAUGUUCUAACGU